GACCGAUAGUGAACCAGUACCGUGAGGGAAAGGCGAAAAGAACCCCGGCGAGGGGAGUGAAAAAGAACCUGAAACCGUGUACGUACAAGCAGUGGGAGCAUGCUUAGGCGUGUGACUGCGUACCUUUUGUAUAAUGGGUCAGCGACUUAUAUUCUGUAGCAAGGUUAACCGAAUAGGGGAGCCGAAGGGAAACCGAGUCUUAACUGGGCGUUAAGUUGCAGGGUAUAGACCCGAAACCCGGUGAUCUAGCCAUGGGCAGGUUGAAGGUUGGGUAACACUAACUGGAGGACCGAACCGACUAAUGUUGAAAAAUUAGCGGAUGACUUGUGGCUGGGGGUGAAAGGCCAAUCAAACCGGGAGAUAGCUGGUUCUCCCCGAAAGCUAUUUAGGUAGCGCCUCGUGAAUUCAUCUCCGGGGGUAGAGCACUGUUUCGGCAAGGGGGUCAUCCCGACUUACCAACCCGAUGCAAACUGCGAAUACCGGAGAAUGUUAUCACGGGAGACACACGGCGGGUGCUAACGUCCGUCGUGAAGAGGGAAACAACCCAGACCGCCAGCUAAGGUCCCAAAGUCAUGGUUAAGUGGGAAACGAUGUGGGAAGGCCCAGACAGCCAGGAUGUUGGCUUAGAAGCAGCCAUCAUUUAAAGAAAGCGUAAUAGCUCACUGGUCGAGUCGGCCUGCGCGGAAGAUGUAACGGGGCUAAACCAUGCACCGAAGCUGCGGCAGCGACGCUGAUGCGUUGUUGGGUAGGGGAGCGUUCUGUAAGCCUGCGAAGGUGUGCUGUGAGGCAUGCUGGAGGUAUCAGAAGUGCGAAUGCUGACAUAAGUAACGAUAAAGCGGGUGAAAAGCCCGCUCGCCGGAAGACCAAGGGUUCCUGUCCAACGUUAAUCGGGGCAGGGUGAGUCGACCCCUAAGGCGAGGCCGAAAGGCGUAGUCGAUGGGAAACAGGUUAAUAUUCCUGUACUUGGUGUUACUGCGAAGGGGGGACGGAGAAGGCUAUGUUGGCCGGGCGACGGUUGUCCCGGUUUAAGCGUGUAGGCUGGUUUUCCAGGCAAAUCCGGAAAAUCAAGGCUGAGGCGUGAUGACGAGGCACUACGGUGCUGAAGCAACAAAUGCCCUGCUUCCAGGAAAAGCCUCUAAGCAUCAGGUAACAUCAAAUCGUACCCCAAACCGACACAGGUGGUCAGGUAGAGAAUACCAAGGCGCUUGAGAGAACUCGGGUGAAGGAACUAGGCAAAAUGGUGCCGUAACUUCGGGAGAAGGCACGCUGAUAUGUAGGUGAAGUCCCUCGCGGAUGGAGCUGAAAUCAGUCGAAGAUACCAGCUGGCUGCAACUGUUUAUUAAAAACACAGCACUGUGCAAACACGAAAGUGGACGUAUACGGUGUGACGCCUGCCCGGUGCCGGAAGGUUAAUUGAUGGGGUUAGCGCAAGCGAAGCUCUUGAUCGAAGCCCCGGUAAACGGCGGCCGUAACUAUAACGGUCCUAAGGUAGCGAAAUUCCUUGUCGGGUAAGUUCCGACCUGCACGAAUGGCGUAAUGAUGGCCAGGCUGUCUCCACCCGAGACUCAGUGAAAUUGAACUCGCUGUGAAGAUGCAGUGUACCCGCGGCAAGACGGAAAGACCCCGUGAACCUUUACUAUAGCUUGACACUGAACAUUGAGCCUUGAUGUGUAGGAUAGGUGGGAGGCUUUGAAGUGUGGACGCCAGUCUGCAUGGAGCCGACCUUGAAAUACCACCCUUUAAUGUUUGAUGUUCUAACGUGGACCCGUAAUCCGGGUUGCGGACAGUGUCUGGUGGGUAGUUUGACUGGGGCGGUCUCCUCCUAAAGAGUAACGGAGGAGCACGAAGGUUGGCUAAUCCUGGUCGGACAUCAGGAGGUUAGUGCAAUGGCAUAAGCCAGCUUGACUGCGAGCGUGACGGCGCGAGCAGGUGCGAAAGCAGGUCAUAGUGAUCCGGUGGUUCUGAAUGGAAGGGCCAUCGCUCAACGGAUAAAAGGUACUCCGGGGAUAACAGGCUGAUACCGCCCAAGAGUUCAUAUCGACGGCGGUGUUUGGCACCUCGAUGUCGGCUCAUCACAUCCUGGGGCUGAAGUAGGUCCCAAGGGUAUGGCUGUUCGCCAUUUAAAGUGGUACGCGAGCUGGGUUUAGAACGUCGUGAGACAGUUCGGUCCCUAUCUGCCGUGGGCGCUGGAGAACUGAGGGGGGCUGCUCCUAGUACGAGAGGACCGGAGUGGACGCAUCACUGGUGUUCGGGUUGUCAUGCCAAUGGCACUGCCCGGUAGCUAAAUGCGGAAGAGAUAAGUGCUGAAAGCAUCUAAGCACGAAACUUGCCCCGAGAUGAGUUCUCCCUGACCCUUGAGAGUCCUGAAGGAACGUUGAAGACGACGACGUUGAUAGGCCGGGUGUGUAAGCGCAGCGAUGCGUUGAGCUAACCGGUACUAAUGAACCGUGAGGCUUAACCU
rnacentral:rRNA from 1 species